CCUACGGGUGGCAGCAGUGAGGAAUAUUGGUCAAUGGGCGAAAGCCUGAACCAGCCAAGUCGCGUGAAGGAUGAAGGUCUUCUGGGUUGUAACUCUCUUUUGUAGGGGAGCAAAUGACGGCACCUGUCGGAUUAGCACCGUCUAAAGCCGUCCCAGCACCGGCGGUAAUACGGCGGGUGCCGGCGUUAUUCGGAAUUACUGGGCGUAAAGGGGGCGUAGGCGGGUUUGUAAGUCAGAUGUGAAAACCUUGGGCUCAACCUUGGAACUGCAGUUGAAACUGUUGUACUUGAGUUCAGGCGAGGUAGGCGGAAUGCAUGGUGUAGCGGUGAAAUGCGUAGAUAUCAUGAAGAACACCGAUCGCGAAGGCGACUUACCGGAGUGCAACUGACGCUGAUGCUCGAAAGCGUGGGGAGCAAACAGGAUUAGAUACCCGGGUAGUC
rnacentral:rRNA from 1 species